rnacentral:rRNA from 1 species
UACGAAGGGUGCAAGCGUUAAUCGGAAUUACUGGGCGUAAAGCGUGCGUAGGCGGUUUCUUAAGUCUGCUGUGGAAGCCCUGGGCUCAACCUGGGAAUGGCGGUGGAUACUGAGAAGCUGGAGUACGGUAGAGGAAGGUGGAAUUCCCGGUGUAGCGGUGAAAUGCGUAGAGAUCGGGAGGAACAUCAGUGGCGAAGGCGGCCUUCUGGACCAGUACUGACGCUGAGGCACGAAAGCGUGGGGAGCAAACAGG